AGGAGCCGUAUGAAGCGAGAGUUUCACGUACGUGUCUGUGGGAGCCUAAGGGGGAAGUCCCCUUGGGCGACCCGAU
rnacentral:ncRNA from 1 species